UUGUAGUCUAAGAAGGGAAAGAGGAGCGAAGGGCUGGGGAGAACGCUUGCCCGCGCGAGCGGACGCCCGCCGUCCCGACAGGCCCCGCAGCGGGCCGGCCGGCGUUGCCUUUCGGGAAUCGUAGUUUCUCCAGGCAGAAGGGGAGGGCUGGGUGAGGCAUGCCAAGCUCGGUGAGUGUCCCGGCAUGGCGCUGGCAUUCAACUCAGAGGUGUCUAGGAUCAACGUCUGCUUUCCCAUGUCGGCUGACAGCUGCCUCCCACUCCUGCUUAGGCUGCACAUUAUUCGCAAAGAGGCGGAAAGGAAGGAGCAGAUCCUGUCUCCCUUGCCUAACCUACGCGAAACAUGAUUAUUAAUCAUCGCGAGGAAUGUAUUCAGGCUUGGAAUUGCAUCUUGGCAGCCCUUGGCACCAGCCUUGACUUCUCAGGCAGCUGCAUCCAGUAAAGGCGUGUGCAACCUCUUCACA